GCCCUGGUGGUGCAAAUGGUUAAGUGCUCAGCUGCUAACUGAAUGGUUGGUGGUUCAAACCCACCCAGUGGCU
rnacentral:tRNA from 1 species